GCAGACACAUUUCAGCCAAUCAGCAGCAGACCCUCCCUCCCAGACCUUCCCACCUCCUGGACAGCUCACUAACAAUGCAUCUUCACAAUGGAUGCUGUCCAGGAGGUGGGAGGGUCUGGGAGAGAGGGUCUGUUGCUGAUUGGCUGGGAUGUGUUUG